rnacentral:tRNA from 1 species
GCGGGUGUAACUCAGUGGUAGAGUGUCAGCUUCCCAAGCUGGAGGUCGCGGGUUCGAAUCCCGUCGCCCGCU